GACGAACGCUGGCGGCGUGCUUAACACAUGCAAGUCGAACGGAGCACCUUCGAAAGAGACUUCGGUCAAUGGAAAAGAAUGCUUAGUGGCGGACGGGUGAGUAACGCGUGAGGAACCUGCCUUUCAGUGGGGGACAACAGUUGGAAACGACUGCUAAUACCGCAUAACGUACGGGUAUCGCAUGGUAUCUGUACCAAAGAUUUAUCGCUGAGAGAUGGCCUCGCGUCUGAUUAGCUAGUUGGUAGGGUAACGGCUUACCAAGGCGACGAUCAGUAGCCGGACUGAGAGGUUGGCCGGCCACAUUGGGACUGAGAUACGGCCCAGACUCCUACGGGAGGCAGCAGUGGGGAAUAUUGGGCAAUGGGCGAAAGCCUGACCCAGCAACGCCGCGUGAAGGAAGAAGGCUUUCGGGUUGUAAACUUCUUUUGACAGGGAAGAGCAGAAGAC
rnacentral:rRNA from 1 species